GCCCGGGGGGCUCAGCGGGUUGAGUGUCUGACUUCGGCUCAGGUCACGAUCUCGCAGUUCGUGGGUUCGAGCCCCAUGUCCGGCU
rnacentral:tRNA from 1 species